rnacentral:rRNA from 1 species
GAUGAACGCUAGCGGCAGGCUUAACACAUGCAAGUCGAGGGGUAUAGUUCUUCGGAGCUAGAGACCGGCGCACGGGUGCGUAACGCAUAUGCAAUCUACCUUUUGCAGAGGGAUAGCCCAGAGAAAUUUGGAUUAACACCCCAUGGUAUGUGAGAAUGGCAUCAUUUUCACAUUAAAGUCACAACGGCAAAAGAUGAGCAUGCGUCCCAUUAGCUAGUUGGUAAGGUAACGGCUUACCAAGGCAACGAUGGGUAGGGGUCCUGAGAGGGAGAUCCCCCACACUGGUACUGAGACACGGACCAGACUCCUACGGGAGGCAGCAGUGAGGAAUAUUGGACAAUGGGCGCAAGCCUGAUCCAGCCAUGCCGCGUGCAGGAUGACGGUCCUAUGGAUUGUAAACUGCUUUUGUACAGGAAGAAACACUGGUUCGUGAACCAGCUUGACGGUACUGUAAGAAUAAGGAUCGGCUAACUCCGUGCCAGCCGCCGCAGUAAGAC